CCAGGCUGGGGCUGCCCGGCCACCGAGCCGGGGUGCAGAGGCCGCGGGAAGGUUCCUGGCGAUGGCGAGAUGAGCGUCGCGGGGGUGGUGGCUGGGACGCGCCCCCCCAGCUCGCCGACCCCGGGAUCCCGGCCCCGGCGCCAGCGCCCCUCCGUGGGCGUCCAGUCCCUGAGGCCGCAGAGCCCGCAGCUCAGGCCGAGCGACCCGCAGAAACGGAACCUGGACCUGGAGAAGAGCCUGCAGUUCCUGCAGCAGCAGCACUCGGAGAUGCUGGCCAAGCUCCACGAGGAGAUCGAGCACCUGAAGCGGGAGAACAAGGGUCUCCAUUACAAGCUCAUAAUGAAUCAGACAUCACAGAAGAAAGAUGGCCCCUCAGGAAACCACCUUUCCGGGGCCUCUGCUCCCUCGGGUGCUUUCUGGGUCUGCGUCCGUGGAGUGUGGGUAGAGCCGGGAGGACACAGCCCUGCCAGGCUGAAGGAGGGCCCCUCACGGACACACAGGCCAGGAGGCAAGCAUGGGCGUCUUGCGGGCGGCAGCACCGACACUGCGCUCUCCUGCAGACAGCCUGUCCACGUCAAGCUUCCAGUCUGUCAAGUCCAUCUCUAACUCAGGCAAGGCCAGGCCCCAGCCCAGCUCCUUCAACAAGCAAGAUACGAAAGCUGACGCCCCCCAGAAGGCAGACCUGGAAGAGGAGCCCCUACUUCACAACAGCAAGCUAGACAAGGUUCCUGGGGUACAAGGGCAGGCCAGAAAGGAGAAAGCAGAGGCCUCUAACGCAGGAGCAGCCUGUAUGGGGAGCAGCCGGCACCAGGGCAGGCAGAUGAUGGGGGCGGGGGCACACCCCCCCAAUGACCCUGCCCCUUCACCUGCGAAAACCCACCACACUGAAGCAGUGCGAAGUGCUCAUCCGCGAGCUGUGGAACACCAACCUCCUGCAGACCCAGGAGCUGCAGCACCUCAGGUCCCUCCUGGAAGGCAGCCAGAGGCCCCAGGUGGCCCCAGAGGAGGCUGGGUCUAGCUUUCCCAGGGACCAGGAAGUCAUGCAUUUUCCUAAGGUCUCCACGAAGGGCCUCUCGAAGACAUGCCUGCUUCUGAGCCCACCUGUGGCGCAGCGUGCCAUCCUACCUGCCCUGAAGCAGACCCCGAAGAACAACUUUGCCGAGAGGCAGAAGAGGCUGCAAGCAAUGCAGAAACGGCGCCUGCACCGCUCAGUGCUUUGAGCCACCCACAUCUGGUCAGUGCCAGGCCCACCAACCUGCAGCUGGAGACUGGUUCUCUAUAGCAUUUCCUGAUACUUCCACUACUUUUAGGCCUGGCUAAAUUCCAAAAUAGAUGACACUUAAAAUAGAUAAAGUACUUGAUCUCUAAACUAACAAACCAUUUAUUUUCUGUUAUUUUGCUAUUUAGCAUUUACAUAAAAAGCACAUGAUGAAGUAGGUAUCGCUUUAUCUGUUGAAACUGAAAAUAAAGCUUGUUUAUUUCCAA